rnacentral:rRNA from 1 species
AUUGAACGCUAGCGGGAUGCUUUACACAUGCAAGUCGAACGAGUGGCGGACGGGUGAGUAAUAUAUCGGAACGUGCCCAGUAGCGGGGGCUAACUUCUCGACAGCGUGGCUAAUACCGCAUCCUCUUGGCGCGGCCGAUAUCGGAUUAGCUAGUUGGUGGGGUAAAGGCUCACCAAGGCCACGAUCCGUAGCUGGUUUGAGAGGAAGACCAGCCACACGGGGACUGAGACACGGCCCAGACUCCGACGGGAGGCAGCAGUGGGGAAUUUUGGACAAUGGGGGAAACCCUGAUCCAGCCAUCCCGCGUGUAUGAGAAGGCCUUCGGGUUGUAAAGUACUUUUGGCAGAGAAGCGGUAUCUGCAGAAUAAGCACCGGCUAACUACGUGCCAGCAGCCGCGGUAAUUC